rnacentral:lncRNA from 1 species
UUCAAACCAUAUUCUCUUGACUUUUUCCAUUACACUCUUUCAAUUAGGGGAACUGGAGAUGUUUCAUUUGGAGACAAGAAGGCUUUGGGGAAGCAAGGAGGGAAUGAAUGAAACCUCUUUACUUCUUCCAAAAGCUGGAAGAUUCCUUGGCCUCCUGGGGCAUUCUCUGUUCUGGCCAAACUUAAAGAAGAGGCUCCCACUGAUGAAGCUGGUUGCCGUGGAAAUUACCAGGCUGCAGAUGAUUUCAGUCUCAAGGUUGAGUUGGAUAUAUGUUGGGGUAUGCCGAAGACUGUUCCCACUGGCUUUCAAGAAAUGAUUAUUAAAUUAUCAGUGUCAGCAUUUACACUUCAGAAGUCAGCAAAAACUACAAAUAAGGGCUUGAUUUAUUGUUUUGUUGAAUGUCUAGGCUUAAGAAAGUGAUG